rnacentral:tmRNA from 1 species
CAUCUUGCGCGGACGAAGCGCAAUCCCUAUCUCUGGAGGUGCCGGUUUUCCGGCUAUGUCGGUAGAGUAUCGAGUGGAAUAGGCAUAUCGGACCCGGGGGGCAGUACCCCGGCGCCUCCACCACCAGCCGCGAGGCCUUCGAAGGCCCGGACGCGGUUGCUGAUGGGGGCGAAACAGGAUCGACGAAUGCAGUAAAGGCUCGGUUGCCGAUCGGUAUGAGACCACCGCGACGGCUCAUUUUCACAAGUGCCAACGAUAACGAGGCGCUCGCUAUUGCUGCGUAACCGACGGUCUAACGACUAAGGUUACAAGGUAUUAAGCGCGGUCGGACCCCACCGGGCAACAGAAGGGGAUUCCAGCGGUCCGGAGGGUACCGGGCAACAGAAACCCUCCACU